CUUUCUCUUUAGUGUCGCGUGAUGGCGCCGCUCAGACCUCAGCCGGACGGAUGGACACGCAGAGCUGUUUGACAUCUGCAGGAGUCCUCAGAGGACACACUGAGCAGCUCUGACACUCGUGAUCUCUGAUGUUUUCAGCAGAGCGCGUCAUGGCGACCGCAGCAUCAGGUGAGUCCUGUCAGACUGUCCUCUCUCGCUGUCCACAUGUGAGACUCAUAAUGAAAGACUUCUGUCCUCAGAGUUUCAGUCAAAAAUAAGAAUA